rnacentral:tRNA from 1 species
GCCUGGGUGGCUCAGUCAGCGGAGCGUCUGACUUCAGCUCAGGUCAUGAUCCCAUGGUCUGUGAGUUCGAGCCCCGCAUCAGGCU